GAACGGUAGCACAGAGAGCUUGCUCUCGGGUGACGAGUGGCGGACGGGUGAGUAAUGUCUGGGAAACUGCCUGAUGGAGGGGGAUAACUACUGGAAACGGUAGCUAAUACCGCAUAACGUCGCAAGACCAAAGAGGGGGACCUUCGGGCCUCUUGCCAUCAGAUGUGCCCAGAUGGGAUUAGCUAGUAGGUGGGGUAACGGCUCACCUAGGCGACGAUCCCUAGCUGGUCUGAGAGGAUGACCAGCCACACUGGAACUGAGACACGGUCCAGACUCCUACGGGAGGCAGCAGUGGGGAAUAUUGCACAAUGGGCGCAAGCCUGAUGCAGCCAUGCCGCGUGUAUGAAGAAGGCCUUCGGGUUGUAAAGUACUUUCAGCGGGGAGGAAGGCGAUAAGGUUAAUAACCUUGUCCAUUGACGUUACCCGCAGAAGAAGCACCGGCUAACUCCGUGCCAGCAGCCGCGGUAAUACGGAGGGUGCAAGCGUUAAUCGGAAUUACUGGGCGUAAAGCGCACGCAGGCGGUCUGUCAAGUCGGAUGUGAAAUCCCCGGGCUCAACCUGGGAACUGCAUUCGAAACUGGCAGGCUGGAGUCUUGUAGAGGGGGGUAGAAUUCCAGGUGUAGCGGUGAAAUGCGUAGAGAUCUGGAGGAAUACCGGUGGCGAAGGCGGCCCCCUGGACAAAGACUGACGCUCAGGUGCGAAAGCGUGGGGAGCAAACAGGAUUAG
rnacentral:rRNA from 1 species